rnacentral:sRNA from 1 species
GCCGGGCAUGGUGACGCAUGCCUGUAAUCCCAGCAUCUUGGGAGGCUGAGACAGGAGUACCAAGAGUUCAAAGCCAGCCUCAGUAAUGGUGAGGUGCUAAGCAGCUCAGUGAGAUCCUGUCUCUA